UUUUAAAAACUAAAAUAAUAAGUAUUUAUUUGUACCGUUUUCAUUGCUCUGCUUAUUCCAAUUUGGUCUUGAAUAAUCGUAUCAAGGUUUUUGAAGCAACAAUCGGACCAGGUUUUAAAAAGCUUGCCUAGCUGACCAGCUUACAUAUAACAGAUAUUGUCACUGAAUAUAUUUGUAGCCUGUAGGGUAUGGUUUUUCGAGAAAAAGUGAUUAGGGAAGGGUUUGAAGAUACUCUCAAAUCUGUCCAGAGAGACGAUGGAGCAAUGAGUUUUCUGCAGCUUGUUUGUUGAGGCUUUGUAGAAAUUCUGAUGUCUAGAUAUCAAGGUAUGCGCAUGCGCCUGUGCCCAACAUAUUUAUACUUGAGCUUGUUAUUGAGAUUAAAAAUUCUUCAGAUUCUAGGUAAAUCCAAAUUUCAAAUUCGGUCCAAUUCUUUUUGUGCAUUAAGAGAAUAUGUUUCUUGUUGAGAAAAGAGGGAAGGAUGAGCAAUCUCUUGAAAGCUUCCACCAUUUCCUUAUCCUAGGUUUGUUUCUGGACUUGCAGAAUAGAAUCUUCUUUUCUACCAUAGACUGGAGUUUUGUUCACUGUAAUCUGGUUCUGCUGGAUUUGUAUAAUCUGUUUGAAAGUUAUUUCUCACCUCAAAGUUGAGAUACUAAUGUAACAAAAUAAACAUAGAAUAAAAUUUAAAUGCGAAAAUGAUAUUUACCCCAUGGGAUUUGAUUA